rnacentral:rRNA from 1 species
UGCCUAAUACAUGCAAGUCGUGCGUGAUCCCAGCAAUGGGUGAAAGCGGCGAACGGGUGAGUAACACGUAAACAAUCUACCUCUAAAACUGGGAUAACCUUGCCAACGCGGGGCUAAUACCGGAUGUGAUAACAUAGCUGCAUGGUUUUGUUAUUAAAGGUUGCAACGCCGAUUAGAGAUGAGUUUGCGUCCCAUUAGUUAGUUGGUGGGGUAAUGGCCUACCAAGACUAUGAUGGGUAGCCGGCCUGAGAGGGUGAACGGCCACAUUGGGACUGAGAUACGGCCCAGACUCCUACGGGAGGCAGCAGUAGGGAAUUUUGCGCAAUGGGCGAAAGCCUGACGCAGCAACGCCGCGUGAGUGAUGACGGCCUUCGGGUUGUAAAGCUCUGUUGUACGGGAAGAAAAGGCGUGUGAAGAGCACGCUAUGACGGUACCGUGCGAGGAAGCUCCGGCUAACUACGUGCCAGCAGCCGCGGUAAUACGUAGGGAGCGAGCGUUGUUCGGAAUUACUGGGCGUAAAGGGAGCGUAGGCGGAUCUUUAAGUUAGGUGUUUAACGCAUGGGCUUAACCCAUGUUCGGCACUUAAUACUGCAGGUCUUGAGUGUGGGAGAGGAUGAUGGAAUUCCAGGUGUAGCGGUGGAAUGCGUAGAUAUCUGGAAGAACACCAGUAGCGAAGGCGGUCAUCUGGCCCAAUACUGACGCUGAGGCUCGAAAGUUGGGGGAGCAAACAGGAUUAGAUACCCUGGUAGUCCCAACCGUAAACUAUGAACACUAGUUGCUGGGGGAGUCAAUCCUUUCGGUGACGAAGCUAACGCAUUAAGUGUUCCGCCUGGGGAGUACGCCCGCAAGGGUGAAACUCAAAGGAAUUGACGGGGGCCCGCACAAGCGGUGGAGCAUGUGCUUUAAUUCGAUGCAACGCGAAGAACCUUACCUAGGCUUGACAUGGGAAUGAAACUUUCUAGAAAUAGAGAGCUUUCCGCAAGGAACAUUCUACACAGGUGCUGCAUGGCUGUCGUCAGCUCGUGUCGUGAGAUGUUGGGUUAAGUCCCGCAACGAGCGCAACCCCCGUCCUUAGUUGCCAUCGGGUAAUGCCGGGAACUCUAAGGAUACUGCUUAGUUUAACUAAGAGGAAGGUGGGGAUGACGUCAAGUCCUCAUGGCCCUUACGCCUAGGGCUA